rnacentral:rRNA from 1 species
CCUACGGGUGGCUGCAGUGGGGAAUUUUCCGCAAUGGGCGAAAGCCUGACGGAGCAAGACCGCGUGAGGGAAGAAGGCUCUUGGGUUGUAAACCUCUUUUCUUAGGGAAUAAGACAGUGAAGGUACCUAAGGAAUCAGCCUCGGCUAACUCCGUGCCAGCAGCCGCGGUAAUACGGAGGAGGCAAGCGUUAUCCGGAAUGAUUGGGCGUAAAGCGUCCGUAGGUGGUUUUUCCAGUCGGCUGUUAAAGAGCAAAGCUCAACUUUGUAAAGGCAGU